CAGCAACAGAGCCGCUGCCUUGAAAAGCAGCCACAUGCUGCAGUCCAGAUCCAGGCCCCAGAGCCCUCGGCCAGGCAGAUGCGCAGGCAGGGAGGAGUGGGAGUGAGCUAUGGCGUGCGGGAGGCAGGACACUUGGCCCCGCUGUAUCGUUACUUCUGAAGCACCAGAGCUGUGCGGCACCUGUCUGCCUGCAUCCUUCUGCGUAUGGCCACGUGUUAUGUGCUCCAGACGUGGGAUAAGGAGGAGAGAGCACAGCCAACUCUUGGUUUCUCAGGUAAGUUCCUGAGGCGAGCACAAACGAAGCCCGAGCUCCCCUGUUCUGAAGCACAGAACCACUGCAGUGAUUAUGGACUGUGGAUGUCUUGAUCAUGGCAGACAUGAGCCUGCCCUGCCUACAUGUAGUGCACUGUCUCCUUGUCCUCUUGUUGGUGUCUGGGCUGUAAGACAGGCUCAUGAUUCUUCCUCUCGUGAGUAACUGGCUGCUUGGCCUGUUGGCUCCAGGAAUUACCUAUUUAUUGUCCCUGGAAAAGGGUCUCUCAGCAGCUGACCCUAUGCUGUGCUCAUUUUGUUUCAAACCAGAGGUUCAUGCAGUUUCCCCAUUAGUGUUAAACCCCACACCAGCUACUGCCAUAGAUCACUGCAUCGGGGAGACAAAGUGGUUGAGUCAUGUUCUGCCCCAGGAGCAGUUCAGCU